GGGGAAAUGGCAGAGUGAGAUGUGUUUAGCUUGAAACUAAAAGGAUGGAGGUUUGAAUCCUCUUUUCCCUU
rnacentral:tRNA from 1 species